rnacentral:rRNA from 1 species
AGCCACCACGAACCAACGACCGACAACAAGACACCGAGUCUUGUUGUCGGUCGUUGGUUCGUGGUGGCUAGCGUUUAGUUACGCUAGUGUGUGUGACGUCGGUGUGAAAGUCGACGACGUUUCCGACCCGUCUUGAAACACGGAUUGCGGAGUGCUUGUCUACUGCGAGUCAAAGGGUGUUAAAACCUUGCGGCGAAAUGAAAGUGAAGGUCAGUCUUGAAUUGGCCGACGUGGGAUCGGUGCUCCUCGGAGUGCUGCGCACCACGGCCCUGUGCGUGUCACUUGUGACUGUGCAGAGGUUGAGCAGUUGGCAAACGACCCGAAAGAUGGUGAACUAUGCCUGAGCAGGAUGAAGCCAGAGGAAACUCUGGUGGAAGUCCGUAUCGGUUCUGACGUGCAAAUCGAUCGAUAGACUUGGGUAUAGGGGCGAAAGACUAAUCGAACCAUCUAGUAGCUGGUUCCUUCCGAAGUUUCCCUCAGGAUAGCUGGAUCUCCGGCAGUUAUAUUCGGUAAAGCUAAUGAUUAGAGGCCUUGGGGACGUAAUGUCCUCAACCUAUUCUCAAACUUUCAAUGGAUAUGAAGUUGCAGUUUCUUUAGUGAACUGUCAACGUGAAUGCGAGGUCCAAGUGGGCCAUUUUUGGUAAGCAGAACUGGCGCUGUGGGAUGAACCAAACGUGGAGUUAAGGUGCCUAACUUCUCGCUCAUGAGACCCCAUAAAAGGUGUUGGUUGAUAUUGACAGCAGGACGGUGGCCAUGGAAGUCGGUAUCCGCUAAGGAGUGUGUAACAACUCACCUGCCGAAUCAACUAGCCCUGAAAAUGGAUGGCGCUUAAGCGAGAGACCUAUACUCCGCCGUUGCGGCAUGUGCGUUGUCUAGCGCCAGGCCGUAACGAGUAGGAAGGUCGUGGCGGUUGCUUUGAAGGCUAUGAGCGUGGGCUCGGCUGGAGCUUCCGUCAGUGCAGAUCGUAAUGGUAGUAGCAAAUAUUCAAGUUCGAUCCUUGAAGACUGAAGUGGAGAAGGGUUCCACGUGAACAGUAGUUGGAUGUGGGUCAGUCGAUCCUAAGGUACUGGCGAACGCCUUGUAUCAUCGGUGGCGAAAAGCUUGCUUUUGGUCCCCGUUUGUCGAAAGGGAAUAGGGUUAAUAUUCCCUAACUGAGAUGCAAAGAUUGUGUUCUUCGGAGCACAAGCGCGGUAACGCAUUCGAACUUGGUUAGUCGCUCAAAGACCGAGCUAGAGUUUUCUUCUCUAGUUAAGGAACGGACUCCCUGGAAUUGGUUCAGCCAGAGAUGGGGACGUUGUUUCCGAAAAGCACCGCGGUUUCUGUGGUGUCUCGUGCUCUUUGAACGGCCCUUAAAACACCAAGGGAGGCUAUUAAUUUGCACUCAAUCGUACCGAUAUCCGCAUUAGGUCUCCAAGGUGAACAGCCUCUAGUCGAUAGAAUAAUGUAGGUAAGGGAAGUCGGCAAACUAGAUCCGUAACUUCGGGAAAAGGAUUGGCUCCAGUGGUUGGAACGAUUGGCCAGUUGGUUGAUGCUUGUCCGGCGCUAUUCUGUCUGCUUGAUGCUUUCGGGCUGAUGGCGGACUAGUGAUAGUGCUUGCUUGUGGACGCUUUCUGGUGUGUGCUAGGACCUCGGUUCUAGUAUCCUGAUCGCUCAUCUAAACAACCGUACUGGAACCGGUACGGACUCAGGGAAUCCGACUGUCUAAUUAAAACAGAGGUGACAGAUGGUCCUUGCGGACGCUGACUGUCACUGAUUUCUGCCCAGUGCUCUGAAUGUUAAAUCGUAGUAAUUCGAGUAAGCGCGGGUAAACGGCGGGAGUAACUAUGACUCUCUUAAGGUAGCCAAAUGCCUCGUCAUUUAAUUGUUGACGCGCAUGAAUGGAUUAACGAGAUUCCUACUGUCCCUAACUACUAUCUAGCGAAACCACAGCCAAGGGAACGGGCUUGGCAAAAAUAGCGGGGAAAGAAGACCCUGUUGAGCUUGACUCUAGUUUGACAUUGUGAAGAGUCAUGAGAGGUGUAGCAUAGGUGGGAGACUUCGGUCG